UGUCAUCGCUGAGUUAGAGAUCGGCGAAUGAUGUAUUAUCAACCCUUUUAGUAUAAGGAAUGUUUAUGUCUCUAAGUACAGAAAAAAAAGCAGCUAUUGUUGCUGAAUUUGGUCGUGAUGCG
rfam:Haemophilus somnus 129PT, complete genome.